rnacentral:rRNA from 1 species
UGCAAGUCGAGCGGUAAGGCCUUUCGGGGUACACGAGCGGCGAACGGGUGAGUAACACGUGGGUGAUCUGCCCUGCACUUCGGGAUAAGCCUGGGAAACUGGGUCUAAUACCGGAUAUGACCUCAGGUUGCAUGACUUGGGGUGGAAAGAUUUAUCGGUGCAGGAUGGGCCCGCGGCCUAUCAGCUUGUUGGUGGGGUAAUGGCCUACCAAGGCGACGACGGGWAGCCGACCUGAGAGGGUGACCGGCCACACUGGGACUGAGACACGGCCCAGACUCCUACGGGAGGCAGCAGUGGGGAAUAUUGCACAAUGGGCGAAAGCCUGAUGCAGCGACGCCGCGUGAGGGAUGACGGCCUUCGGGUUGUAAACCUCUUUCAGCAGGGACGAAGCGCAAGUGACGGUACCUGCAGAAGAAGCACCGGCUAACUACGUGCCAGCAGCCGCGGUAAUACGUAGGGUGCAAGCGUUGUCCGGAAUUACUGGGCGUAAAGAGUUCGUAGGCGGUUUGUCGCGUCGUUUGUGAAAACCAGCAGCUCAACUGCUGGCUUGCAGGCGAUACGGGCAGACUUGAGUACUGCAGGGGAGACUGGAAUUCCUGGUGUAGCGGUGAAAUGCGCAGAUAUCAGGAGGAACACCGGUGGCGAAGGCGGGUCUCUGGGCAGUAACUGACGCUGAGGAACGAAAGCGUGGGUAGCGAACAGGAUUAGAUACCCUGGUAGUCCACGCCGUAAACGGUGGGCGCUAGGUGUGGGUUCCUUCCACGGAA